rnacentral:rRNA from 1 species
GACGAACGCUGGCGGCGUGCCUAAUACAUGCAAGUUGAGCGCUGAAGGUUGGUACUUGUACCGACUGGAUGAGCAGCGAACGGGUGAGUAACGCGUGGGGAAUCUGCCUUUGAGCGGGGGACAACAUUUGGAAACGAAUGCUAAUACCGCAUAAAAACUUUAAACACAAGUUUUAAGUUUGAAAGAUGCAAUUGCAUCACUCAAAGAUGAUCCCGCGUUGUAUUAGCUAGUUGGUGAGGUAAAGGCUCACCAAGGCGAUGAUACAUAGCCGACCUGAGAGGGGGAACGGCCACAUUGGGACUGAGACACGGCCCAAACUCCUACGGGAGGCAGCAGUAGGGAAUCUUCGGCAAUGGACGAAAGUCUGACCGAGCAACGCCGCGGGAGUGAAGAAGGUUGUCGGAUCGUAAAACUCUGUUGGUAGAGAAGAACGUUGGUGAGAGUGGAAAGCUCAUCAAGUGACGGUAACUACCCAGAAAGGGACGGCUAACUACGUG